AUGUGGGAGGAAAUGAGAGCAGAUAUAUACUAAAAUUGGAAAGGUACAGAGAAGAUUAGCGUGGCCCCUGUGCAAGGAUGACACACAAAUUCAUGAAGUGUUCCAUAUUUUU